GCCAGCAAGAAGUCCUUCCUGGAGGAGGAUUUCUUCAGCAAACUCCCUGCUGAGGACAUCGAAACUGCAGAGGGGUCCGAUGUCUCAGAUGCCGACCCACAGGCUGUGCUGCAGACCCUGAAGGACUUGGAUGACAUGGAAGCAGAUCUCCUGGGAAUAUCAAAACCCCGUCCAGGGCUGGGAGAAAUGAAUGUGAAAGACCCUGAGAAGCACGACCCUGCGGGCA